UCACCGAAUAUUUGUAGUAGAUUAGACGAUAGUGGUGAAUAGUGGCGACAGUCACGGCGCUGACUGAUUUAUAAUACUGUACUAUAGUCUAAAUUAAUUUGAAAUAUACCGACAAAUUAUUUAAUUAAGAAUGUGUUUCCAGAUUUAACAACAAUUAUAUAUAAGCUAAUUAGACAAUCCCAGAUCUCGUAAUAUGUGUGACCCGAUCACUGCGAUUCUUUCUCCACCACAAUCUUCACCGCCACCAGAAGAUGUGGCAUCAGACUCACAUUUUUUCAUCCAUC
rnacentral:lncRNA from 1 species